rnacentral:lncRNA from 1 species
UUAAAGGGAUGGUAAAGUGACUUUGGGAAAGUGGAUAUUGAAAAUCGAAAUGGGUAAGAAUGGAGACAAGUGUUUAGCCACAGAGAAUACAAUGCCACUACUCAGCUCAAAGAGCUUUUCUUUUUCCUUUUUAUUUUCCCACAAAAACAAAAUAGGCUCUCAUUAAGCUGACAAAAUUGACACUCAAAUCAGCCAUAUCGAUAGGAGAGAAGUACGGCCACAAUGGAGCUUCGUUUUGCUGAUAGAAUUUUUAAUGGGUACGCAAUUUUAUUUGUUUGGCUAAUUUUUCAAUUGUGUUGCUACUAUAAUCCUUAAAGGGUACACAGUUUUAUGGGUUAGGUUGCUGUUGUUUGUUUUCUUUGAAUUGUACAUGUCAUGGAGUACAUAUUUGAUUGCUUUCAUGUGUGCAGUUUUAUCCCUCUUUUAUUUUAUAUUUUAAUUUAAUAGGGCACAAAAUUUUAGAAGGUGAGUGAAUUUGUUAUUAAAUGAAAUGACUUUUUAAACAAACUAAAAUAUAAGGCAUAUCAAUUGAGGUGUACGCCUAGCAUACAAUAGGGGCGAUUAGGGACAUGUGUGGACAUGUAUGAUAGAGUUUUAAGAUCCGAGUAAUUAUAGUGGGAAGAGACCCAAAACACUUUGAAGUCGUGAUGGGGUUGCACCGAAGAUCGACUUUUAGGUCAUUUUUAUUAGUCUUGGUGAUGGAUGAAUUAACACAACAUAUUCUAAGGAAAGUGCGAUGGUGUAUGACAUUUGGGAAAGGCCGAUGAGAUAUGCGACAAAGUUAACGAUAGGUUGGAGGUUUGAAAAAAGACCCUAGAGUCUAAAGGGUUCAAGUUGAACAUAAGUUGUUUGGAUUGACUUAUUUUAAGUGUUUUUAUGCUAAAAUAAACUUUUAUGCACUUUUAAAGUGUUUGGGUAAAUUUACAAAGUGCUUAUAAGUACUUGGUUUUAAGCUAAUAUGGUAAAAAUAAUCAAAAAGUCAUAACUUUAAAUUUUUAACUUAUGAUUUUUGACUUAUAAGUCAAAAGUCAAAAGCUAAUCCAAACAGACCCAAGACAAAGAACACGAGUAGCAAGUUCAAAACAUAAUGCAUGAAGCAGAUAUUGAAGUGAGGAUUGAUACACAGUUCAUCCCAAGAGAGUGAGUUUCAUUUAUCUUAGGUCAAUAUUUCAAAAAAAAAAAUGGGGAGAUUGACAAUGAUGUUACAUAUCAUAUUGGAGUGGGGGGGAUGAAAUGAAAACUCAGAUUCUAUGUUUUCUACGAUAAUAAUGUACCACCAAGAUUUAAUGGUAUGGUUUAUAGAGCGGUUGUUAGACCAACUCUGUUGUAUCAGAUGAAGUUUGGGCCAAUCAAUAGCUCGCACAUUCAAAAGAUGAAAGUAAUGAAAAUGAGGACGUUGAGAUAUAUGUGUGAGCAUAUUAAAAUAAUAUAAUUAGGAUUGAAUAUAUUUGUGAUUUGGUGAUAGUGGCCUCCACGGUGAACAAGAUGAGGGAAGAGAAGGUUGAGAUGGUUCAGACAUGUGAAGAAGAGUUGUACAGAUGCUCAAAUGAGCAAGUGUGAGAGGUUGACUAUGGUUGAUCUGAGGAGAGGUAGAGGUGGGCUGAAAAAGUAUUGCAAAGAGAUAAUUAGACUAGACAUGGCAGUCUUGUAGCUUACCGAGGAGACGACCCUAGAUAGGAGGAUAUAUAGGUCAAAGGUUCGAAUAGAAGAUUAGUAGGUAGUCGAGCAUUGUCUAGUUUUUUACAUGAUCCAUUUAAUUAUUACUUGUUAUUUCCUUUUAGGUUAUCGUAUUGUUUAUUGUUAAUGCUAUCUCUUUUUCCAUUACUUUCAGCAUGACUUCUUUAUUAUUGUAUUUCCUUUUCAUACAUUUUUUUGUAUGACUUACUUUAGCUGAGGUUUAAUCGAAAACAACUUUUCUGUGAGAUAGGGUAAGGUUGCUUACACAUCACCUUCUCCUGGCCUGACUUAUGAGACUAUACUAGGUAUAUUAUUAAUGUUUUUGUACACUUGAACUUCGGAGGUUGUGGGGAUGUUUUUUGAAACCCCNNNNNNNNNNNNNNNNNNNNNNNNNNNNNNNNNNNNNNNNNNNNNNNNNNNNNNNNNNNNNNNNNNNNNNNNNNNNNNNNNNNNNNNNNNNNNNNNNNNNNNNNNNNNNNNNNNNNNNNNNNNNNNNNNNNNNNNNNNNNNNNNNNNNNNNNNNNNNNNNNNNNNNNNNNNNNNNNNNNNNNNNNNNNNNNNNNNNNNNNNNNNNNNNNNNNNNNNNNNNNNNNNNNNNNNNNNNNNNNNNNNNNNNNNNNNNNNNNNNNNNNNNNNNNNNNNNNNNNNNNNNNNNNNNNNNNNNNNNNNNNNNNNNNNNNNNNNNNNNNNNNNNNNNNNNNNNNNNNNNNNNNNNNNNNNNNNNNNNNNNNNNNNNNNNNNNNNNNNNNNNNNNNNNNNNNNNNNNNNNNNNNNNNNNNNNNNNNNNNNNNNNNNNNNNNNNNNNNNNNNNNNNNNNNNNNNNNNNNNNNNNNNNNNNNNNNNNNNNNNNNNNNNNNNNNNNNNNNNNNNNNNNNNNNNNNNNNNNNNNNNNNNNNNNNNNNNNNNNNNNNNNNNNNNNNNNNNNNNNNNNNNNNNNNNNNNNNNUCUUUUGACACACCCCCCCCCCCCCCCCCCGCUCCCCGCAAAUUUUAUUAGCUUACCUCCAUUGCAGAUUCCAAACCUGAAUAAAGGAGGAGGAUUACUAGUAGGCUAGCUUCCACCGUAAAACUAACCAAUUUCAAUUAGAAUUUCUCAUAUCAUAGAUAUCAUUAGGACUUUCUCACCUAGGCACGCAUUACAUUCACCCAAGUGAUGAGAAAUAAAUAAGGGGUUCCAUCACAUUUUUUCCUAGUUGUGAGACAGUAUGACAAGGGUUCCUAUCAGGAAUGAGUGUGGGAAAGAAGUUAGUCUCGUCUCAUCAACAUCCAAAUGCUGUGUAAAGUCGAAAGGCCACCAAUUUGGAUGGGUGUGGAUAAAUAAAGCAAUCCAAUCACAUCAACAUUUGGAUGUAGUGCAAAUUAAGAAAGGAUUCUCGUAUUAUGAAUGGAUUAGGAUAAAAAAGAUAGUCUUGAAAAGACAAAUUCAGGUAGGUAGCUAGAACAUAGACUUGACAAAAAUUAAUGAAAAUCUUAAACAAUAGGAAAGUUAAUAUUGUAUGCCUAUGGGAAACUAAAUGAACUGUGCAAAAGGCUAGAGGAAUAGGCAACACGAGAUAUUGAUUAUAGUAUUUUACAUAUUUAUAAAACUAGGAAUGUUGUGAGAAUUAUUUUAGAACCAAGAUUAAGGAGAAAGACGUAGAGGUAAAGCGAGUUGGUGGUGAGAUUAUCUCGUUUACUCUUGUUGGUAAACUGGAAAAAUCAAUUUAUAUAUUUUUUGAGAUAAGGGUAACUGUGUAUUCACAAAAGUCUCAUCAUCAAAUAAGGAUGAGCAUAGGUCACUUACAAUCUCAUCAGAGCAUAACAAAACUUACCCCUAGGGAGAUUACAAAUUGCCUAUGAAAUCAACAAAAAGUUCUAUAUCCCCCCCUCAUAUCCUGUUUACACCAAAAGUAUAAAAAAACUAAGGCUAUUCAUCCUUAUCUUCUUGAUGUUGUUACUUUUGUCCUCACAACAUCUAGCAUUCCUUUCUUUCCAUAGAGUCCACCAAAUGCAAGCUGGUAUUAAUUCCCACCAGUCUUCAGUAGAAUGACUUCUUCCUAUCUCCUUGCAGUUGUCUAACAUACCCUUAGUGGUCUGUGGAGUUACCCAGCCUACACCAAGGAUGCAGAAAAACAUGUUUCAUAGGUUGGUAGCUACCUUGCAGUGGAGGAACAAAUGUCCAUUGACUUCAACAUCUUGAUCACACAUAAAACAUCUAGAACAAAUAUGUCUUCCUUUUUUCUGAACACUUCAUGUGUUAGACAUGCCCUUCUACUCACCAACCAAGAGAAACAUGAUACCUUUAGAGGUAUUUUUAUCUUCCAAAUUAGUUUCCAAGGCCAGAUUCUAUUUCUUCUUUGACCAACAUUGCUACUCCAGUAGCAAGACUUCAUUGUGAACACUUAUUUCCUCUGUAAUUUUCAUAUAGGCUUGUCAGGCUCAUUGGAGGUGCCUAGGAAGGUAUUUAGGAUCUGAAAUAGAGCACUGAUUCUCUCUAUUUCCCAGUCAUUGAGGGCUCUUCUAAACAAGAAAUUCUAUCCCUGAGGUCUCCAUAUCUGAGAAAUUGUGUCCUUGUUCUGUUGGCUGAGUAUAACCAAAUCUGGAAAUAAAGUUGCAAGGCAUUCUUCUCCAAUCCAUAAAUCAUUCGAGAAGUCAAUUUUCCUGCCAUUUCCCACCUUAAGUGAGAUGCUAUCUUUAAACUGUGGCCAUAAUCUUCUUAUGGUCUUCCAAAAACUACACCCAAAAGUUCCCAGAACCUCCUCAGCAGACUAAUGACUUUGUAGUCCAUAUUUGUCAAUGAUGAAUCUAUUCCAUAGUGAUAGCUCUUCAGUGUAGAAUCUCCAUAACCAUUUCUAUAGAAGGCAGGAGUUCUGGGGCUUAGCUUUUUCAUGUCCAGUCCUCCAUGCUUCCUACUAAGAGUAACAAUAUCCCACUUGACUAGCUUGUAACCUCUAUUUUCUCUUUUUCCAUUCCAAAGAAAAGAUCUUCUAAGUUUGUUGAUCCUUUUCUCAAUGAUCUUUGGAAUAGGGAAAAGACUCAUCAUGUAGGAAGAUAAAACAUCUAGGACUGACUUGACCAGGGUCAAUCUCCCUCCCAAAGAGAUGUAAUGACUCUUCCACCUUGCAAGUUUCUUGUCACAUCUCUUCAGAACAUCAUUCCACACUCCUAUGUCCUUGUUUUGUGCUCCCAAAGGCAUGCCCAAACUCUUUUGCCAAUUAACAUGGAGCCCAGAAACACCUUCAAAAACAGUGAGAAUUGCUCUGAUGUGUCUAAUUUGUGUCACCUUAGCCUCACAGAAAAUCAGAGAGUCAUCUGCAUAAAGUAAAUGAGUAACCCCCAACUCAUUCUCCAUAUUCCCCUACAUUUGAGCUUUAAAACCUAUUAACCAUCCAUUGACAUUUGCUCUCCUUAUCAUGUGGUUGAGGUCUUUCAUGACUAGAAUGAAUAGGAAGGGUGAGAGAGGGUCCCCCCGCCUUAGCCUCUUUUGAGAUUGGAAGAAACCUUUAGAGUUUCCAUAUAAUUAGUGAGAACUUAACAGUGGAUAUGUCUAAGCUUAUCCAAUUAAGCCACUUCCUCCAAAACCCAUGUCCUUCAAGAUUUUUAGUAGAAAAGACCAAUUAACAUGAUCAUAUGCCUUUUCUAUAUCCAGCUUACACAAGAUACCCUUUUUUUGUUUGACUCUGGAAUCCACCAAUUCAUUAGCAAUAAGUGAGGCAUCUAUAAUUUGCCUUCAUUUUAGGAAAGCCAUUUGGUGUACAUUAAUCAAUCUCCCCAUUAUUGUCUUCAACCUCUCGGUGAUUAGUUCGAAAAUAAUCUUAUAUACUCCCCCUAUCAAGCUAAUAGGUCUGAAAUCUUUUAAUUCUUCUACCCCAGAUUUUUUAGGAAUCAAUGCUAUAAAGGUGGCAUUAAAAGCUUUUUCAAGGACUUCCUUUUGGUGAAAAUUGUGAAUGGUCAACAUCAGAUUUCAAUGUUCGCCAACACGACUUGGAAAAACUCAUUGUGAAGCCAUCAGGACCUGGAGCUUUAUCUCCAUCACAUUGUUUUAAGCAUCCCAGGACCUCUUCCUCAGUAAAAGGUCUUUGCAUACAAGUUUGUUCCUCCUGAGUUAUAGUUGGACAGUCCAGGAAAUCAUAUCUAGGUCUCCAGUUUUUAGAUUCAGUGUAGAGCUUUCUAUAAAAAUCAAUCAUAGUGUUUCUGAUUUCUAUCGGGUCUUCUACAAUCUCUCAUUUGUCUAUUAGCCUGUCAAUGGUGUUGUUCCUCUUGUGUGAUGUUGCCAUUCUUUGGAAAAACCUUGUAUUAUUAUCCCCUUGUUUCAGCCAUAAUACUCUGGAUUUCUAUCUCCACCUUGAUUCUUCAUUUUUUGCCAACUCUUCCAACUCCACUACUAUGGUGGCUCUUAUCAUCAUUUCAUCUUUAGUCAAAUCUCUUGUUCCAUGUAACUCAUCAAUUUCAGCCAGUUCUUCCAAUAAGUUGUUCUUCUUGUUUACUAUCUUCUCAAAGUUAGCUUUGCUCCAUUCUUUGAGUUUUUUCUUGAGCAUUUUUAGCUUAACAUUGAGUCUAUAGUCUAGACAUCAUUCCACCAAGAAUUCAUUCCACCAUGAGCCAUCAGUUCUCGAACUUGAAAUUUGACCUUUUCUUCUCCCAAUUUCCACAUUCUAACAUGAUAGGGCAAUGAUCAGAGAUGACUCUAGGUAGUAGCUUUUACUUGAUAUUUUUGAAUUCUUAUUCCCAUUCUAUAGAGAGUAGGAAUCUGUCUAGCCUAGCUGCACUUGGGUGAUUGAGGCCUCUGAACCACGUAAAAACUCCACCAUGUAGCUGGGGUUAUGUAAUUCCAUCUCAUGUAUCCAUGUUGAUAAAUUAGACAUAAUAAAAGAGAUUAAGUUACAUCCUUUUCUUUCUUCCAUAGUUCUGGUGUUAAAGUCUCCACAUGUGACCCAAGGACCACCACAAAUGGUUUUAACAACAGUUAGUUCCUCUGAGCAAAUUAACUUCUCAUUCCUGGUAUGAGGAGCAUACACUCCAGUGAGGUACCAUGUAUAGAGAUUAUGAGUUGAGACAAACUCAUAAGUGAUGAAAUAUUGACCAGCUUCAACUGUUCCACACCAUAAGGACCCCUUACUGGUACCCACAACUUCCAAGUAACCACAUUUCAUCCAUCGGCAUGACCAUAAUUGCUUAGACAUUACUUCAACCUCCUUGCUGAGCUUUGUUUCUUGAAAACAGUAAACAUCCGCCUUCCAUUUUUUCAUUAGACUCUUCACCAUUGUUUUCUUCUUUUGGUCAUUUAACCCCCUUACAUUUCAUGUCAAUUUAUUUGUGCUUAUACUCUACAAAUUGGAUUUGAUGCUAAAGGUGAAACUAAAUUUCGGGAAGAUAUUGACACCUUGAUUCAAGUGAUUCUAUGCAACUAACAAAUUCUUAAUAGAAGUUGUGUAAAGUCCAAAGGCCACACAUCUUGGAUGGGUGUGGAUAAAUAAAGCAUUCCAAUCACAUCAACAUUUGGAUGAAAUGCAAAUUAAGAAAGGAUUCUCGUAUUGUGAAUGGAUUAGGAUAAAAAAAACUAGUCUAGAAAGGAAAAAUUAGGUAGGUAGCUAGAAUAGAGACUUGACGAAAAUUAAUGGAAACCUUAAAAAAGAGGAGAGUUAAUAUUGUAUGCCUACGGAAAACUAAAUGAAAUGUGCAAAAGGCUAGAGAGAUAGGCAACACAGGAUAUUGAUUAUAGUAUUUCCAGAUUUAUAAAACUAGGAAUAUUGUGAGAAUUAUUUUAGAACCAAGAUUAAGGACAAAGUCGUAGAGGUAAAGUGAGUUGGUAAUAAGAUUUUCUCGUUUACUCGUGUUGGUAAAAUGGAAAAACCAAUAUUAAUAGUGCUUAUACUCUACAAAUUCGAUUUGAUGCUAAAGGUCAAACUAAAUUUUGGGAAGAUAUUGACACCUAGGUUCAAGUGAUUCUAUGCAACCAACAAAUUCUUAAUAUGGGAUAUCUAAAUAGGCAUGUGGAUAAUGAUAAUUAUGAUUUUGAUCAAUUGCACAUGGAAUAUGGUUAUGACACUAGGAAUGAUGACGAAAAUGUUGUCCUAAGGUUAGCUUUAAUGUAUCAUUUAAUUGUAGCAAGCAAAUGUUUUAAGAAGAGAGAUUCUCACUUAAUAGCAUUUAGAAGUGGGGGCAAAUAGUCAAAUAAAGUUUAUUCAUACUAGAAGACAUGAUAUAACUAAAUGUAAAGAGUGUUAAGGUUAUACUAGGAGAAACAAUAACCAUCCAACAUGGAUUGUUGACCUUGGAUGAAAAAUGUAGGUGAUGUUUGCGUAAUCAAGACAAAACUUUCGAUGCAAGUGUCUACGAUCUUACAAUAGUUUAGUAACCCAACCAAGGGUUGGGAUCGUCCCAAGAGAGUGGUUUUGAGAAUUUAUAGAAAAAUAGAAUUUAGUUCUAACUAGUCGUAGCUAAAAACAUUAACGAGUAAUAAUAUUGUAAAUUAAAGGGGGGGACACAAGAGUGUCAAUUAACAAUGGGGUUUUUGUCACAAGUAAAUAAAAACAACAAAAUAAACAAGGGUUUCUACAUAAUGAGAGGGGAUCCUUGGCAUGUGACAGGAAUACGGGUUAAGCUAGAUUAUUGGGUACAUGCUUUUGAUAGAAGAUUCAUAAAAUAAUUGUGACUAGGCUAAACUUUAAGGGGGAUAAUCUCUCUCUCGAGCAACUUACCCCGUUUCAAAUGCGUUCCUCUCGGGCACCCACUUGUCGCAUGAAGACCAGCCUAAGACUUAACCCACUCACUCUCUCGAGCUGAGUGUGUGGACAUGGGAUUAGGGUUCACUCUCUCGAGUUGAACCUCAUGUCGACCCACUCACACCGGCCAUCAAUUUAGUUGGUUUUAGUUUUACGACCUCUCUCUCUCUCGCAAGCCGAAAACACAUAAAUAAACUUCUAUUUGCAACUACAAAUUCACUAAAUUCAUCCACAACCACUAAACGAAAUCACAUUUAAACUACGAAUAAACUAGCAGCAAGCAAGACCCAAUAAUUUUCUUAACCCAUAUUCGCUAAAUCACACCCCAAGAAUUGGGUUUUUUAGCUACACAUAAAGAAAUUUAUACCUAAAUGAGCUUGCAUUCAAAUGGGUAUGAAGAUUUAAGUCUUGUUACAGGCCAAGAAUGAAGAAUCCAAGAGAUCCAAGUCCAAAUCCUUGGAGAUGAAACCCUCUUCUUCUUCAAGUCUUCAAAACCCUCUCAAACUUAGAGCAAAAAUACCAAAAAGUACUAUUCUAUAUGAAAAUUAUCACAAUUAUUCGAUUCUAAGUGAAAAUUAUAAUAAUUGUUCCAUAUUAAAACUAAAACUCUAACUAGUAUUUCUAGCUUUCACAAUUUUGUGCUACAGCGGAUCAUUCGGCGUUGUUAGUCAGAAUCGCCGAUCAACUCGGCUAUUCACCCUUUGGUGUAGUUCAUCGCCGUCUUGCACCAGCCUUCAACAUCGUCGUGCUCUAGGUCAUUGGGCGGCAUGGUACUGCUUCGCGGAAUUGCUCGGCGAUGCGCCGACUACUCACUUUUUUCGCCGACUUGAUCCUUUUCUUCGGGGCUCAGCACACUGGAAUAAAAGGCGAAGUAAGACCCUUCCGCGACUCGCCAAGUGGACUCAGCGAUCCUCAGGCCUUUAUUUCUUCAUUCUUUUCAGCCUUUUCGUUCCUUUUUACGACAUAGUGUCCAUGCUUUUCUUAAAACUUCAAAUACCUGAAACUUAAGGGUUUUCAUCAGAUAUUGAGAUAAAAUAGGCAUUUGAGGACACAAUUUCUAUUAAAAUAUAUCCCUGAAUGAGUCCAAUUUGUGGAGUCAUCAACACCUCCAACUUAAACUUUUGCUAUUCCUCAAGCAAACUCAAGUUCAGCCGUUUAAAAAGGGUGUCUCGAACAGUGCUACACAAGACUCAAUCAUGAAUGCACACAAUAAGACUCAAUUACUUAUGCAAAGAUCAAAUGUGCACUCAAAGAUUCAAGUUGUGACUCACCAAUAUCAAAGAAUCUCAUGCUCACAAUACUUGCUUCAAAGUGUUCAAAUGCCCUCACUCAAAGAAUGAUUCCAUAUUCACACAAUGGUUUCACAGUUUAAAGUUUCGGAAUCAGAUGCAACACUCACACUCACAAAGAUGAACACAAUGCAUGCUUUCACCCAUAGGUUUGCCCGUAUUUUCCAAUCAACAUUUGCUUCAGCUCACUCAAGAUCAAAAAGGUUUUUUCAAGGCUUGUAAUGGGGCGGGGCCGAGUGCAAAGGUUUGAUCAUUUAGGCUCAGUGACUUUCAUUCUCAUGAAAUGUGGUGCUUACAACACUUCCUUUACCUUUACUUUAUCAUUUUCUUUAGUGCUCAUAAGUCAUCCUAUUAUUCACUUUCCCAUAGUGUGUUGGAAACCCCCUUUCUUUUGCACUUUAUUCUGCAACUUUCUUUUUCAUUCUUUUCUCUUUUCUUUAUCUUUUUUUUUUAUAUAGAAGGGUUCCAUUUUUUCUCAACACCAUGGGUCGAAGGAGACUUUCCUUGUACUUCUUGACUUGCCCCUAUCUUUUCACCAUACCCCCAACUUAGGCUUUUGGCCUAAGUUGGCUAGUCAAUUAACCACAAUUCAAGAGGAUUAUAGGUAGUGGAUAAAGAAAGGUUAUGAUUUCAUCAAGUUUCUUCCAAAGAAAGGUAACGCUUAACGGGUGUUCAAGAGAGAAUCACACACUCACAAGGUAGGUCACAAAAGAGGUAUAUGUCAAAUUGGCUCACACUCGUAGAAGUUGCCUAAGAUCAUAUCAAGAGAUAGCAUCACUUAGUUGACCGGACCAACGAGGUAAAUUCUAGGAUCUAUCAUGCAUAGUUCACAUGUUAACUCAUCACACUAGGCAUUGGCACUAUAAGUUAAACAAGACUCCACACUUUCGCUAGUGUGCAAUGAUCAUCACAAGAGACUCAAUUCGAUACGAGGCUAGUCAUAACGAGAUGCAAAGAGUUCACAUAUUGUCUAUGCAACUUCAUUUGGCCUCAUCGUAGCCGCGCAUUCAUGUUCGUUCGAUUGUAAGCACUAUUUAAGUCAUCUGUAUUGAUCGAAACCGAGACUUAAAUUUUGCAAAAGAACAGCCACAUUCAAGAGUAUAUAACGAGUGGCGAAAAUGUGUGAAAAAUUCAAAAAAAUUUGAAAGGGUCCAAAUUAUUUUGCAAUAUGAAAUAAAAGGGAGCCAUAAGCUCAAACAUCCACAAAAAUGCAGUAUAAAUGCAAUUUUAAACAGAACAGCCCAAAUAUAAACAAAACAGGACUAUUAACACAAAAGGUGUGGGCCUCACCCCACCACAAAUAAAAAUAUUUGUCCUCAAAUGCAAAUAAAAAUAUCCAAAAUGACAAUUAAAGAAAAACAGAGAAAGAGGUGAAUAAGGGAUCAUGUCUAAGCAGUCGCUCCAUCUGUCUGGGCAUCAGUACCCGAAGUGUUGUCAUUCUGAUUCUGGUUCUCUUCUUCUUUUCGCUCUACUUCAGCUUCUGUAGCGAUAUUAGCCUCGAUCAUAUUGUCCAACUCGUGAGCUGCCACAAGGCGUGUAUCGCAUUGUUGAACCGUCGAGCCCACGAAGGGACAUUAGGGUCAAUGGGCAUCCUCCUCCUUGAACUGGUUGUCUUGUUCUGGCUCCUGGCAGUUCUUCUGAACUUCUGUGCUCUUAUGUGUCUGGGUGGCAUGUUUCUUCCUGCAACUUUUGGUCUGGCCAUGUCUACAAAGUCUUGAGAUAAUGUUAGAACAUAUUUGACAACCAAAACACAGGCAUUCAGCUGCAGAAAGACUAGAUAGUCCAUUCGGCGAGCCACAGACAAUCCGCUGAAGGUCACAGUUCAGAAAGAGAUAGGGGUUCAGACAAAGGGUGAAUAAGAAGAUUUUCGGCGAGUCGUCGAGUGCUCUUGGCAACGUCAUACUUCUCGCCGAAAGUUACAGGCGCCACAACAAAUAAAGCAUGAUAAUAAGAGCGUGAUAGGGUAAUUAGGCGAACUGCAGAAUAGUUCGGCGAGCUCGCCACAGCUCGCAGAAUAGUUUGUUGAGCUCGCCACAGCUCACCGAAUGACCCAACGUGCCUAUUUUUUACCCAACUUCUCAAAAUCAACCCCACAACCCCCCCGAAAGCACAAUUUAAGCACAAAAAGCACAAAUUCGACCAAGACCCAUAACAUAUGAAUACCACCCAUCACACAUUAAAUCCACUCAAUGCAUUGGAGAACAAAAUUUCAUUGUUUAGGCAAUAAAGGCAGGGCUAUCGAAGAAAAAUCGACACAAACAAUUAAACCCAAUCAGGGAGGUUCAACAGAUUUUGACAAGAUUACAAUAUCUGCAAAUGAGUACAAUUUUGACAAGAUAAUUAGGGGGUUCGGGACACUAACCUUUUGUGCUGAUCAAAUGGAUAUUGAGAUGCUAGGAAGCACUGUAAUCCGACUCGUAGCACAAUUCGACACUAAAAAUACUCUAGAAAUGCAAAAAUAUAGAAACUAGAGUGCAGGUGUGAGUUUGGGAAGGUGAAAAAGUGAGGGAAAGAAAAGAAGUUGAAUUUUUUUUAAACCUUUGGUUGAGAGACUGUCCUGUUUUCAUCCAUUCAGUGAUAUUAGUCAAGCUCGCCUACUCACUCGGCGGAAAGCUAACUGUUUGGUUUCUUCGCCGAAAUUUACAGAACCUCUGGUUUAUGGGGGUUCAAACGGCUAUUUCCAUCGUGAUCGCCAACAUGGUCGGCGAUUCGCCAAUAAUCUGUAAAACUCACCAAGUUUUACAAACUCCAAUGUUGACAAUGUCUUGAGUCAAACGACGGAUAAGGUCGAAUUCGCCAACCCUUUCGGUGACUCGCCAACUAGAUCUAUUGCUUGCCAAUUUGCACUUUUCGUUCACUCUCCACACUUCAAUUUGCCUAAUCAAUACACCAUUAUUUUAUCAAAGCAUAAGAAAGCAAUAAAUGGUUUUUGGGUUGCCUCUCAAAUAGCACUUUAGUUAACGUCGUGGCAUGACGCAAGUCCACCUUCAAACCUCGCUCUUGGGAUUAGCCAUAGUAUCACUAGGCAAACCCCCUUGCUGUCUCGGAUUUAGGUGAGACGAGAUAUGACCCAUCUGGGUCUCCAACUGCUUGAUUAAAACAAAAUGGGAGGUGAUAGUCUGGCUAAGGGUAGAAACAUCUUCUUUCAUGCCUUUCAGCAUUUUAUCUGACCUUUCAACUUUGUUGAGGAUACGCGAGAGCAUAUCCUCAGACUUAUCACCUUCCGAAUUUGGCUUCUGGCGCUCAUGCGGAGGCAUAUAUCUAUCCUUCUCCCCAUCUUUCCAGUUUGGAUUUCGGUCCCUCCAUUCACGAUCUUUAUCUUUCCAGCUUUCAUCUUUAGCCUAGCCUUGCUUACCACCCUGCCUUCGGUAAUUUGAGCGGUAGCCACCACCUUGGUUAGCUAGAAAAUUUACCUCCUCGUUAUACAAGGUUUCAAACUUUAUCUCCUCAGGAUUAGCACACCCGACCCCCACAGCGUUGACACCACAGGCACCAGCCCCUAUGACAUUUUUGGAUAAAAUAUCCAACUGCAUCAUGAUUUUGGCCAUGUUCUGGUCUCUCUCAUUGUCUUUUUCAAUCUGCUUCUUGGAUAACUUGAAGGUGAGAGGGGAGACUUGAUCCUCGUGAGUGUACCACGCUCUGUUGAUGGUUGUCAUGCCAUCUAAAAGUUGGACUGCUACUGCAUAUGGCUGCUGCAUUAAGCAUCCAGAUGAGAGUUGGUCAGUGACGCAUUUGUUUACCGAAUCCAAACUCCGGUAAAAGUAUUAAGUAGCACGUUAUUCGACAAACCGUGGGUUAGGCAUUGCAACACCAACUGUUUGAACCUUAGCCAAGUUUCGUGUAGAGGCUCUCCUUCUAGACGUUUAAAGCUCUGGAUGCUAUCCCGCAGUGACAUCAUCUUCGAAGGAGGGAAAAAUCGCACUUGAAAUGCAGUUACCAACUCCUCCCAGGAAGUGAUGGAUUCACGCGGUAGCUCGGCUAGCCACUUGCAAGCCUCUCCCAUCAACGAGAAAGGGAAUAGCCUCAACCGGACUGACUCCUAAGGGAUGUUUUUGAACGAGAAUGGUUCGCACACAUCUACAAAAUUUUGAAGAUGCUCGUGAGGAUCCUCAUGAGCCAAUCCGCUGAAAAGUCCCUUCAGUUGCAAGAGUUGCAACAUGGUGCUUGUUAUGUGGAACACUGCAUUUCCCUCGACUGGGGGUAAAUGAAUGGAUCCUACACCUCCCAUAUUGUGGGGACCAUUGAUGUUGGGCUCUUGGACAUCGUUGAGAUUUCCAAAGUCGUCUUGGUGGCCUACCUGGUUACCGUCGCUACCAUUAACACUCAUGCUUUCUGAAAUAUUUACACAACAAACAAAACAAAACAAAAAAUUAAGUAAGUAGACUACAACUAAGAAGAACAAAAAUUCUACUAAUCUAAAAAUUCUCAAAUAACACCACUCCCCGGUAGCGGCGCCAUUUUGAUGUUUGCGUAAUCAAGACACAACCUCCGAUGCAAGUGUCUACGAUCGUACAAUAGUUUAGUAACCUAACCAAGGGUUGGGAUCGUCCCAAGAGAGUGGUUUUGAGAAUUUAUAGAAAAAUAAAAUUUAGUUCUAACUAGUCAUAGCUAAAGACAUUAACGAGUAAAACAUUGUAAAUUAAAGGGGGGACACAAAAGUGUCAAUUAACAAUGGGGGUUUUGUCACAAGUAAGUAAAAACAUAAAAAUAAACAAGGGUUUCUAAGUAAUGAGAGGGGAUCCUUGGGAUGUGACGGGAAUAUGGGUUAAGCUAGAUUAUUGGGUACAUGUUUUCGAUAGAAGAUUCAUAAAAUAAUUGUGACUAGGCUAAACUUUAAGGGGGAUAAGCUCUCUCUCUCGUAACUUACCCCGUUUCAAAGCGUUCCUCUCGGACACCCACUUGUCGCAUGAAGACCAGCCAACGNNNNNNNNNNNNNNNNNNNNNNNNNNNNNNNNNNNNNNNNNNNNNNNNNNNNNNNNNNNNNNNNNNNNNNNNNNNNNNNNNNNNNNNNNNNNNNNNNNNNNNNNNNNNNNNNNNNNNNNNNNNNNNNNNNNNNNNNNNNNNNNNNNNNNNNNNNNNNNNNNNNNNNNNNNNNNNNNNNNNNNNNNNNNNNNNNNNNNNNNNNNNNNNNNNNNNNNNNNNNNNNNNNNNNNNNNNNNNNNNNNNNNNNNNNNNNNNNNNNNNNNNNNNNNNNNNNNNNNNNNNNNNNNNNNNNNNNNNNNNNNNNNNNNNNNNNNNNNNNNNNNNNNNNNNNNNNNNNNNNNNNNNNNNNNNNNNNNNNNNNNNNNNNNNNNNNNNNNNNNNNNNNNNNNNNNNNNNNNNNNNNNNNNNNNNNNNNNNNNNNNNNNNNNNNNNNNNNNNNNNNNNNNNNNNNNNNNNNNNNNNNNNNNNNNNNNNNNNNNNNNNNNNNNNNNNNNNNNNNNNNNNNNNNNNNNNNNNNNNNNNNNNNNNNNNNNNNNNNNNGGAUCAUUCGGCGACAUUAGUCGGAAUCGCCGAUCAACUCGGCGAUUCUCCCUUAGGUGUAGUUCAUCGCUGUCUUGCACCAGCCUUCAGCAUAGUCGUGCUCUGGGUCAUUGAGCGGCAUGGUACUGCUUCGCGGAACUGCUCAGCGAUGCGCCGACUGCUCCCUUUUUCCGUCGACUUGAUCCUUUUCUUCAGGGCUCAGCACACUGGAAUAAAAGGCGAAGUAAGACCCUUCCGCGACUCGCCAAGUGGACUCGGCGAUCCUCAUGCCUUCAUUUCUUCGUACUUUUCAGCCUUUUCGUUCCUUUUUGCGACAUAGUGUCCAUGCUUUCCUUAAAACUUCAAAUGCCUGAAACUUAAGGGUUUUCAUCAGAUAUUGAGAUAAAAUAAGCAUUUGAGGACACAAUUUCUAUUAAAAUAUAUCCCUGAAUGAGUCCAAUUUGUGGACUCAUCUGUAGGAGAAAGUGAGAAAAAGACGACAUGCUAGUAAUCAAUAAUUCAAUAGUGGACACUAAAGAUGACAACUAGCUAGCGAUUCAAGAAGAAUUAUAAAGGAAGCAUUAUGGGACUUUGAGGCUAUCAUAGAUGUCUGAUGGAAGGAAAUGUCAUGUUCCAGUUAAAAAGUAGCAAGCAAAGUGUAAGGUGUAUCUAAAGGUGUAGGACGUUGAUCUCAAGAUCUUGGUGAUGGAAUGAGGAAGUGGAAGGAGUGAGUUACUAUAGCUAAAAUAAAGUGCUAUAGGAACAAAAGCAAAAGAUGGACAAGACUUUUACAAGUACAAGAGAGUUAAGAGGGAAGCUAAGAAGGUUAUUAUUAAAGCACGAGGGGAUUCCUAAAUUACUUAACCAAAAGCGAGGACACGAGACAAGGAGAAAGAAAUAAUUAGAAUUUCACAAUGGAGAGAAGAGAAUCAAGAAAGUAAAUAAGGUGUCGAUUCUCAAUAAGUGUUGAUAGGAGAUAAUGAGAUUAACCAGAGAUUGAGAGGCUAUUCUGAUCUAUUGUUCUAUUCAAACGACGAUUAUAACAUUCUUAAUCUCCAAGCCGUAUAGAAUUAGGAAAACAAAGAUAAAGAGAUACCAUGAUAAAUAUGAGUAAAUAAAGACAGUGGUCUAGAUAGUAUCUACAUUUUUGUUUAGAAGUGUCUCACAGAAGUUGGCAUAGGAUGACAUACAACUACUUAACGCUAUACUAGGAAGUGACUAAGUGCCUGAUGGGUGGAGAAAGUGUACCAUGAUUCUAAUUUAUUAAAACAAAGGAGACAUAAAAAGUUAUGCGAACUAUCGUGACAUUAAGCAUUCAAACUAAAUCCACUGGUAAUCCAAUCAAUCUGUUAUUCUCUUUGUCUAAGGUAGAAUAUACUGACUUUCUUCGGUAUAAGGCAAGUAAGCAGACAUCGACCCAGAUUAGUAAUCUUGUUGCUUGUAUCUCACAGUCCACCACAUUUGGCCCUAGGGUCAUGGACUUGGGCGCUUCUGACCACAUUUCUGCUAAAAAAUAUUUAUUGUCUAAUAUUACUUACUCUCAGUCCCUUCCCAUAGUUACGUUAGCUAAUGGUUCUCAAAUCAUGGCAACCAGAGUCGGUAAAGACAAUCCCUUACCUUCCUUGACUCUAAAUUAUGUUAUUUUUGUUCUUGGUUAUCCCUUUAGCCUCUUGUUAAUAAGCCGCUUGACUAAGGCUUUAAAUUGUUUCAUCUCAUUCUUUAAUGACUUCUUUGUUAUACUGGACCUCAAUAUCAGAAGGUGAAUUAGUGAAUGGCAUGAGUCAAAUGGACUUUAUUAUCUCAAUUCUCACUGAUCCACUAUAGUUUGUUUAGUCUCUGACUCUCCGAAUCUAAUCCACAGACAAUUGGGGCACCCUAGUUUGUCCAAACUCCAAAAGAUAGUACCUAGCUUUUCCAAAUUGUCCAAGUUAGAUUGCGAGUCAUGUCAACUCAGGAAGCACACCCGACCUAGUUUUCCACAAUCUUAAUAAUCGUGCAGUAUUUUUUCAUUUAGUUCAUUAUGAUAUUAGGGUCCUAGUAGAGUUAGUUCUUCUAUAUUGGGUUUCAAGUAUUUUGAUACUUUUAUUGAUGAUUACUCUAGGUGAACUUGGAUGUCCUUAAUGAAAGAUUGUUCACCGUUCUAAUUUUUUCUAAUGUUUCAAACUUUUUGUGCUGAAAUAAAAAAAAAUUAAUUUGGUGUUUCUAUUCACACUUUUCAUAGUGAUAAUGCAUGUGAAUAUUUAUCAUCUUAAUUUAAACAAUUUAUGUCUUCCCAUUAAAUUCUUCAUCAGACAUCUUGUCCUUACACUGCACAAUAAAAUGGGGUUGCAGAGAGAAUAGGCAUAUUGUUGAGAUUGCACACACUCUUCUCAUAUAAACAAAUGUUCCAUUCCUUUUUUGGAAGGACACAAUGCUCACCUUUUGUUGUAUGGUUAACCAUAUGCCUUUCUUUUUUAUUCCAAAUGAGGUUCCACUCUUUGUUUUGUUUCCCUAUUAACCUUAUUCCCUCUUCCACCAUGCAUAUUUGGAAGCACGUGCUUUGUUCAUAUACUCACUUCAGGAAAAAAAAACAAAUUUGCUCCUCGUGCUCUUAAAUGUGUCUUUCUCGGUUAUUCAAGGGUACAUAAGGGAUGUCGAUACUUCUCAUCUAACCUAUAGUGAUAACUUAUGGCCACUAAUGUUACUUCUUUUUAAGGUUAGACCUACGUUACAUCCUCUUUGAACAAUUAGGCAUUUCUGAGGUUUUACUAGUUCCAUCUUUGGGGGAUCCUGUCAUAGGUUGCCCUUCCAUGUCAUCUCCUACAACUCCAUCUUCCUCCUCUGUACCUACACCACUAUUGACCUAUCAUUAUUGUCCGCGCCUAAAUGAUUCACUCCUGUCACUUGAAUUCUUGCCUUUUGAGGACUUGUCUACACAGUCCUUCUAUUACCACUCGAAAAGGUAACUGCUUUACUCCUAACCCUCACCCUAUCUAUACUUGUUUGAGAUAUCAUCAUUUUACAUCGACCCAUUCUGCCUUUGUAUCAUCACUAUCAUUUGUGUCUAUUCCUAAGACUACAUGUGAAGUUCUUUCUCAUCCAGGCUAGAAACAAGCUAUGGUUGAGGAGAUAUCUGCCAUACACUCUAGUGGUACUUGGGAGAUUAUUCCUCAACCUCUAGAUAAAUAUACAUUUGGUUGUCGUUGGGUAAAUAUAGUAAAGGUUGGCCCUGAUGGACAAAUUGAUCGCCUAAAAGCUCAACUAGUGACUAAAGGUUAUACACAGAUUUUUUUGUCUUGACUAUGGUGAUACCUUCUCUCCUGGUGGCCAAGAUUGCUUCAAUCUGUCUCUUUUUAUCCAUGGUUAUUGUUCGUUAUUGGACUAUUUAUCAGUUAGAUAUUAAAAAUGUCCUUCUUCAUAGGGAGAUCUUGAAGAUGAAGUAUAUAUGAAGCAACCACCUGGUUUUGUUGCUCAGGAGAAGUCUAGUAACAUAGUGUGUAGAUUACAACGAACACUCUAUGGUUUGAAGCUAUCUCCUCAAGUAUGGUUUGGGAUGUAUAACAUGGUUAUCCAAGAGUUUGGCAUGGUACGAAGUGAAGUUGAUCAUUUUGUGUUCUAUUGUCACUCUACUCUAGGUUUGUGCAUCUAUUUGGUAGUGUACAUUGAUGAUAUAGUUAUCACAUGUAAUGAUGAUGAAGUAAUUAACAAGUUGAAACAUCACCUUUUUCAGCACUUUCAGUCUAAGGGUCUUGAAUGAUUGAGGUAUUUCUUGGGCAUUGAGGUUGCUCAUUCCAAAUGUGAAAUUGCCAUUUCACAAAGAAAGUAUGCACUUGGUAUUUUUGAAGAGGUGAGGAUGACAUAUUGUAGGCCUAUUGAUUCUCCAAUGGAUUUAAAUGUUAAGCUCCUACAACCUGGUAGGAAUGUUGAAUUAUCUCACAGUGACUCGACCUGAUAUUACCUUCUCAGUGGGUGUUGAAAGUUAGUUCUUAAAUUCACUUGUGACAGUAAUUGGAAUGCAAUUAUUUGCAUCCUUCAAUACAUAAAAUUUUCUCUAGGGAAAGGAAUACUUUACGAAGAUCAAGGACAUGAGAAAAUUAUUAGAUAUUCAGAUGUAGGCAAGAUCAUCAUUUGACAGACAAUCCACUUACAUAUAUUGUGUUCUAGUUGGGGAAAAUUUAAUGUCUUGAAAAAGUAAGAAACAAAAUAUGGUUGCUAGAUCCAGUGCAGAAGCAAAAUAUCGGACUAUGGCAGUGGCAACAUAUGAACUCACAUGGAUAAGGCAACUAUUGGCGAAGUUGAUUUGCAAAUUCUAAAGGAAUGAAAUUUAUGUGCUAUAAUGAAGUUGCACUUCACAUUGCAUCACACCGAGUAUUUCACGAGGGGACACAACACACAAAGAUUAAUUGUCAUUUUGUCAGAGAAAAGAUGCUCUCCAGACAUAUCGUCACAAGGUUUGUGUGGUCAAGUGAUCAGCUUGCGCCUUGAAGACAUAUUCACAAAGUCCCUAGUCAGUGCUAGAACACGUUAUAUAUGUAACAAGCUUGAUACAUAUAACUUGUAUGCUCAAGCUUGAGGGAGUGUUAGAAUCCUAGGAAUAUUCUAUAGCAUAUGUAUAAAUACAGUAGGUAGCUUGAUUUACUCCUAUUUUAAUUAGGUAUUGAUUUCCUUUCCUUUUUAGGACAUGUAUACUUAGUUAUUUAAACCCUAAUAGAUUGUGGGAAUAAUCAAGUUGAGUUCACUCUCAAACUCCUGUCUUCUCACAGAUUUCAUAGACUCAAUAGCCCUUACAUGUUGCGUUCAUAAUAUUGCUUAAAUAGCCUUGCAUCUUUGUAUUAAAUCAAAUUCACAUGGUCUAUGUGAUAUCUCAAAGAAGACUCCCAUGAUUCCUAAAUCUCGCAUCUUAACUGUGCAAUAAUAACACUACAUAUAUAAAGAGAGAGAAAAACUAACACGCUAAAGGCAUAUCAAUGAUUAAAAUAGGAUUUCUACAGAUACGGAGAAAAAACAGGUCUCUCUAGCGUAUAACUAGUUUGAAUACAUCACAAGGCAUAUAUAUCAUGCUCAAUUCAUCAAAAUACGAAUAUAGGAUACAAAGCUACGAAUAAGGAUUUAAGUACUUUGCCCACUAUAACUAUCACGACCCAAGACUACCCCUAGAUGUGACAUAGUACCUAUAAUCUCGAGAGACUCUAAGUGAACCACAUGACAUAACAUGACACUAAGAAAAUAUACAUAACUGAAAUAACAUGAUCAAUGGAAUAAGUCUCAAUGAUAAUUUCAACAUAAUAGAGAAAUCUGAAUAGAACGGCUCAUAAGCGAAAGUACUAAUGUCUGAAAUAGCCUCUAAUCAUAAGUGAGUCGCUAGGAUAAGCUUAGCUCACUCAAACAUCUGAAACUGAAAUAAAGUCUGAAAUGAUCAUAAGAAAACAUAAGUGGUAUGUCCCUAAACCAUGAGGACUCACCAAUAUUGACCUAAGUUGAUAAGAGUCUGUACUAACCACGAGCCUGAUAUGGAGCGCCAACACUUAUAUUAUAAAACAAUACAGGCACAAGAAUGUAUGCGGUCAGUACUCAGAAUGUAUUGAAUAUGGGAAAAUACAUGAACAUGAAAAAAUAACAUGAUGGUCUGAAAACAUGAUAAUGUAAUGACCGAGUAAAUAAAACAUGAAGCUGGGAAUCCAAUUUUGAAAACAUAGUACAUGGUCAUGCAUUUCUCUUUAAAUCAUAAUCAUAACAUAUGUGGGAGAUACCAUUAAUCGAUAUAAAUUAUUUGAGCUAUAACAUGAAGCUCAAUGUACUACUCCCACACCAAAAAUAGAGUUUCCUACUAGUCAAGGUAAAGACCAUAAUCAUAAGCUUAGGUGGAUCCACCCGCUUGAGUCAAUUAAGACUAAGUCCUAUGGGAACACGUAGUUCUGGGACAAGGGGAUUACUACUAAAGGUCUCAAGCCUCCUAUGUUGCUCGGACUCUUCCAAAAUGUUGACGGGUGUGUGUUGGAUCCUCCAAAAGUAGUGUAACUUUGAAGGAUCUGACACGGGUCCGGUAUCAUUUUCGGAGAGUCUGAGAAACUUAGCAAGCCUCUACUAACGUGUGAGCCUUCAUCCCAGGUCCACUCGGUGCUAUGUAAACUCCUAACAAAAAAGAUGCAUGAUUAUAAUCAUAUUCAUAAUCCUUGAAAUGGUAAAAAUCUAGUAGUACUGAAUCAUUCAUAGAGAAUCUCAUAGUCAUAAGAAUAACUCCUUUAAAUCAUGAUUUCAUAGCACAUACUUCUUUAAGACACUUAUCUUAAGCAUCUAAAUCAUGAUAUUCAUACAUAAUGAGAGGUACUUCAAUUGGAAGCAUCCUAUUUUAUAAAACUGAUUGAUACUUUAUCUAAAAGCAUCCUUGGUUCGUAAAAUCCUUCAUAACAUAAUGCAUGCAUAUUGAAACAACUUAAAUCGUGAUCAUAAACUACUUGCGUAGCAUGGGUUCAUGAAAAUAUCAUUGAAAACAUCAUUGAAAACAUUAAAUUAUGAUCAAAUCAUGCAUAAUAUGAUCAAUCAUGAAACAUAGACUUAAAUUCAAUAGAACCCAUAAGAGAAUCAUGAAAACCCUAGAAUUUGGGUAGAAUCAUUAAUGAAAAAUUGAGGUUUCUUUGAGACUUAAUGGGUGAAGAAGAACCUAUUGAUGAAGUUCCAUAUACCUUGAUAGAAACCCUAGGUGAAACUCUUCAAUGAAGGCUUGAAAUCCUUGGAACCCUUGAUUGCUUGAGGAAGAAGACUUGAUAGAGAAAUUUGGAGUUUGAGAGAAUGAGGGUGAAUGGGGUGGUUAGGGUGAUUAGGAACCCCUUAACGUCUUCAUAAUAAAACCAAAACGAUAUAGCAUAAGAAUUAAAAGAGUAGGAAAAGACCUAACUACCCCUAAAAAUAACUGACGAACUACCAUUUACAGGCACCACCCACAUAUUGUGCAUCCUUACACGGACCGUGAAGCCUCCCAUCCUAUCGAAGACAAAAAUGCCAAGUAUCUGAUCUACCAUUCCACAACCGGGUCAUUAUUCAUUAAAAGAAAUAAUUUCCAUAUAAAGUUAGAGUUGCAAAGUAUGAUGAUGCUAAGGUAAAAAAUGAAAACAUAACAUAAACCUAGACAUCAACUAUAAUAUGUCUAUGAAGCCUGUAGCAUAAUCUGAAUAACAAUGUUUACUAGGACAGGGACUCAACAUACCCAUAACUAGAAAGUUGAAAUAAAUAAUUCUCUAGAGCAAUGUGGGACUCACCAAUAGCUAAGAUGAAAAAUCCUACUUGAUAGCCUGAUCAUGAUGAUACGCAUCAUAAAAUGUAAUGUCACUAAUAUAAAGGGACUUAAGUAUAUAUGAAAUAGUGCGCGUAUGUAAAAUAACAUGGAAUGAAACAUAAUAGGGACAUAAAACAGAAGGGCAACCAAAGAAUAUAAGACAGGGUGGAAUCGAAGGAUUCAAAUCAUUGGGUUGACCUUAUUGUUUUCAUCUUUCAUCAUUAUUGAAAUCAUUAUGGGAAUUUCUCAGCAUAACCAUGGAGUUAAAUAUCUGCUCGAUCAGCUAAGUCAUCCCUUUCCUUAUCGGGGUAUGAGACAUGCAUAACAUGUUCACUAGCAACGAUUCAUAAAAAUGCCAUAUCAUGGCACCAUAUAGGAUUCGCCCGACCCAAAAGAGUGAUCCAAAACUUCUGUUGGGAUACAUAGUUUUAGGCACUUUUUAUAUAAACUUAUGCCUUCUCGCAUUAACAAUAUCACUCCCAAUUCAUUACAUGAAAAAGUUUAUAUCAAGAAAUCAUGAAUCAUACUUACCUCGAAAGCUCAUAAAUCAUGGUAUGUGUUGUGUGCAUCAUAUUGCCAAAAUCAUUAGUUUAAUAAAUCAUGGUCCAUAAAUCAAAGUCAUGUAAAUCAUGUCAUAAUACCAAAAAGUUCAUAUUUUGAAGAAAAAUCACGGUUCUUACGAUGUCAUAAUUUGAGAAAAGGAUCAAAAUGGUCCUUUAUGUUUGAGUUAAGAAUCAAAGUAGUCCUUUCUCUUUUAACAUGGAGCACUAAUAGUCCUUCAUGUUUCAAGAAUUGGUACACUUUUGGUAUUCUUCCAAACAUAUGCCUAUUUUUUAAUAGAGCCUUUCUUUUGCACGUGAGAAAGCAUAUACAUGAUAAUUUUGAUUUCACCAUUGCAAAUCAAAUUUAACCGUCUUCUUUGAUAACUCUGUAUUCACUUGGUGGAAAUAAGAUUUUUCCCUUCUUCUCCGUAGUAUUCAUUCCUAAUUUCAUAACUUUGAUUUUCCUAUUAUACAAACAAAAAUCACUAUUUGAAGUAAAUUUUGAGCAACUUAAGGAAAUUCCCUCCGAGAAUCACUAUAAAUAUACAUAUAGUUUUUUUUAGUAUUUAUAAAAACAAGUGAGCAAAGUAGAGUAUUGUUCUGUGAUCAACUCUAGUUAUAUGUUCUUUCAUAAUUGUAAUCAACAUUAGUUGAAUUAACUAGACGUGUCAUCGUAGGAUAUUUGUUUUCGAAUCUUGCCGAUGCUAACAAGUCUUUUCAUUCUAGAUUGUCACUCUCCUUUUUCCUGUACUUUUCUUCUAUCACUCUUCUUCUUUAAUAUAUAUAUAUACGAUAUAAGUUAAAUAAAAGCUUAGUCAAUUCUUGGAAGCAACUACCUUUUAUUGUUGCACCAUAACAAUAUAGUUGCUUCCAUGAAUCGACUAAGCUUUUAAUGGAAUUUAGAAUGAAAGGGUUUGAUUGAAGAAGAAAGGGAAUAUAAAAUAGAAGUCUGAUUUGAUAAGGAGGUCAGAGGGACAAAGAAACAGAGAUUUUUUUUUUUCGGGGGGGGGGGGGAUUUUCUCACGUGCAAAAGAAAGGUUGGGUUAAAAAAUAAACAAAUAUUUGGAAGAAUAUUAAAAAUGUACCAAUUCAUGAAACAUGGAGGACUAUUAGUGCUCCAUGUUAAAAGAGAAGGACUACUUUAAUUCUUAACUCAAACAUAAAGGACGAUUUUGAUCCUUUUCUCUCAUAAUUUGAUAGAAAAUCAUGGGCUCAUAGGUUUUGAUCAUGAAGAGAAUUUAGAAUGAUGGUAACGAGUUCAUGACAUUCGCUGUGAAUUAACGUGAGCAAGAAAAUAGGCUUUCACAAUUUGGCAUACUCAUUCAUUGAGGAGAACUCAUGCAAAUGAAGAAUAUAGUGUGGGGAAGAACAAUGAUGUUCCCGCACGAGGAUAACCUUACUUACCUUAAUCUCUCCUGAACCAUGGAUAAAAUUCCAAACUUGGCGAAGAACUCCCAACAAUUCUACAUUUGGCCUUUAAAAAGGGUUUCUAUGAAGACCUUAUGAUCGUAAAAGUAGAACCGUGUAACGAAUCCAUAAAUGAGUGUUAGAAACACUACAAAAUACCUAGAAUGGUGUGGGGGAACUUAUCUCGGUGUGGGGGGAUUUUGAGAGGAGAAAUGAGUCGUCGUAGGAGUUUAAAAAAUGAAGAACAAGUUAAAAGUUCAGAAAAAUGUGGACUAGGUUCAAUUUAUAGACCUGGGGUCUGGUGCGACACGAUACCACAAUGGGCAAUGCGUCGUACUACCCGCUACAUUCCACACUUAGCCAAAUUUCCAAAGUGUCCACUACCUUUCAUCAUGGCGCAAUCUUCAUCAUUAAUUGUGAACUUCACUGCGAUGGCGGGCUUCACAUCACGGUCCUUAUCCCCACCAACACACAAAAAAUGUUUCCCGUUUUAGGCAAAGCAUGCAUAGUUUAAUUUCUUGUAUAGAACUCAAUUUGAUGGGUUACUACAUAAACAUGAACAUGGUGUCUGGCAUAACCACACAUUCUUAUUAACACCGCACCAUUUGUCUAAAUCUACUCUUUACCAAUGGGCCUUAGUGAGGUGUUACAAGGUCCACUUAGAUGUAUCAAAGCGGAGAUUGCUAAACUUGUUUCUGACUAUUGACUUAUAUCAAGUGAAGGUUGGGCAUUGAUAACCCGCAUGAUUACUUCAAAAUCUUGAGAUCUCGAAGUGGAAAGGGCAAUAAUUAUCAUGGUCGUAGUAACUAGGCUAACUCAGGCCUUUAAAGGUUGUGAAUAUGUAUGGUUCUUAUUGGUCCAACUAUGUGUAUAGUGGAGUGAGAUAUGAACAAAUAUACACGGACAAAACUAACUUUUUUUGGCCAAAAAAUCCCAAAUUGGAUUGCAAAAGCAUAUGGCAUGACACCUUAGCCUAAUCUAAGGUAGCACAUAAAAUUUCUUAAGAACACUAAAGAAACUUUGAGGCGCUUUAUUAUUUGGACACGUAGGGUCAAGUUCAUUUUUCUAUAAUUAUUUCAAGGGCUUCAAGUUUGUUUAAGGAAGCAUAAUCAAAUUAUUCCUAGAUUAAGAUUUAUAAGUCUUGGAACUUAGGUCAAGUUCAUUUGUUACCAUAAGUAAGUGUUUUUCGAUUUUUUUGGUCCAUAAACACUCUUAUUUUAGCACAACAUGACCUCGUCAGCCAAAUAAAAAUAUAUCCUUGCACAUCAAGAUGACUAAGUUCAUCAUAUGUAUAAGCGAUACGCAUGUCCAAGUUAGUGUUCAAGUAUGGUGUGUCAGAUAUAACUUCUUCAAUGAGACUUUUGCCUAAGGAUGUGUUUAGACUUGAGGGAACAUGUUUAGGUCCAUUGUUAGGAAUUAAAAUAUAAUUGUCUUGUAUUCACGCCAAGUCUUCAUUGAUAAAUCACAUCAAGGCCACUCAGGAUGAAAGGUGGCACAACUAUUGAGUACUUGUCUUUCCCUUUUGUGAGAAAUAUAAGAGAAACAUAUUAUGAAUUAUGUAUGUACAUGAUUACAUUUAACCCUAGUUAUAGACACUACGUUACAAUUCUUAUCCAAAAAGAAUUCCAUAUACUAUUCCUAUUUAAAUUCUAUCACUCGCCCUCAAGUUGGUGCAUGCAAGUCAUAUGUAAUGAACUUAUUUCAGAUGUAAUUAAUGUGAAGACCAAAGAGAGACUUAGUGAAGAUACGUGCAAGCUAAUCACUUGAAUUCACAAAUUUUAUAACAAUAUCUCCGGAGGAUAGCUUUACUCUGACAAAGUGACAGUCAAUCUCAAUGUGCUUAGUCCUCUAAUGAAAAACCGGAUUUGAUGCGAUAUGAAGGGCCGCUUGGUUAUCACACACAAGUUUCAUCUUCUUUAUUUCUACAAAUUUUAGUUCUCUUAGCAGUUGUUUUAAGCCUCGUUCCUCAAAAGAGUAGUCAUUUACCUAGAGCUUACUUUAUGUAUCACAGAGGACAAACAACUACAUCCCAAUGACUAUCACAAUGGGAAGUCAUAAACUUCCUUUCACUUGGUUUGAACCAUCUAAUUGGAGAACGACACCACUUACUAUACAAAGCCUAAUACACCGCCAUCUGAAUACUAGAUUGGUAACUGUUACAUAGACAAACUCCACCAAAGGUAACUAAUUAUCCAAUGAAUUCAAAAAGUCAAUGGCACAUGAUCUCAAAAUGUCCUGCAAGAUCAUAAUGACUCGCUUCGACUUACCAUCAGUCUGCACGUGAAAUGUGUUGGGUUUAGCAAGGUAUGAAUGGGAAAUAGUGAAUGGGAAAUGAAAAGAGAAAAUGGAAAGUGGAAGAACCAAUGAAAAAUGGGGGAACCAAUUUUGGAGGGAAAAUGAAAAAUCAUUGCAAAAGUGCAAAUGAAUAGUCAUUUUUACCAUAUCGGUAGAAGAGAGGAAAUUGUUGUCCUUAUAUUAGGAAACACUUCCUUUACUUCUUAAAGGGUUAAGAAGAAGGUGCCCCCUCGCGCCGUCGUCGUCGCUCGCUCGACCUCGGCUUCGGCUUCGGCUUCGGAUUUGGCAAAUGAUUGAUUGNNNNNNNNNNNNNNNNNNNNNNNNNNNNNNNNNNNNNNNNNNNNNNNNNNNNNNNNNNNNNNNNNNNNNNNNNNNNNNNNNNNNNNNNNNNNNNNNNNNNNNNNNNNNNNNNNNNNNNNNNNNNNNNNNNNNNNNNNNNNNNNNNNNNNNNNNNNNNNNNNNNNNNNNNNNNNNNNNNNNNNNNNNNNNNNNNNNNNNNNNNNNNNNNNNNNNNNNNNNNNNNNNNNNNNNNNNNNNNNNNNNNNNNNNNNNNNNNNNNNNNNNNNNNNNNNNNNNNNNNNNNNNNNNNNNNNNNNNNNNNNNNNNNNNNNNNNNNNNNNNNNNNNNNNNNNNNNNNNNNNNNNUUUUUCGUUUUUUCAAGCACUGAAAAUUUUUUCCUCUCUGCAUACAUUUUCUUUCAUAAAUAAAAUUGUCCAUCGACUGAGUCUGUGUGUGUGCUCUUGUUGCUGUUCUUGCGUUCGCUGAAGUUAUUGAAGUUUGAGGUAUCGCUACUUCUUUAACAGGUUAAUCCGUUUUAUCUUGGGAGAAAUUAAUCUGCAACCUCGGGUACAGUAAGGGGAUUAAAUUUCUUAAGGAAACACAGUGGUUUCUGUGGACUCGGAUUAAAUUCCUUCUGUCUAUUUCUAUCUUUUUUCUGUUUCUGUAUUUUUGACUAACCUGAAUACAGGAGAUAACAAAAUGUUGUGAUGAACACUCGACCUAAGUACUCAACGCUUUUUUUAAAUUGUAAUUGAGUUGUGAACUAUGACCCUCCGUCAGAAAUGAUGGAAGCAUGUACACCAUGCAACUGAACUAUAUCAUGGAUGUAGAUAUUUGUUAAUGCUCCAAUGUGUGAAUAGGCUGUUCCGAAAUGAAAUGUGCGGAGUUUGUGAAACUGACUACAAUUACUCAAACAGACUAAUGCUUAAUUCCUCAAAGUGCAACACAAGCCUAGCUACCACAAAGUUCAUAGUGAUCUUCUCCAAUUUCCACUCAGGAUUAACCAGAUUCUGACUUAUCCCCCCCAGGUUUCAGAUGUUCAUAGUUUACUUGCUGACAAGUCAAGCAACGAGUUACAUGGUCAAAUAUGUUUGUUUUCAUUCUUCUCCACCAGAAAUGCCUCUUCAAGUCUUGACCCAUAUUUGUUGCCCCUAAAUAGAUUGAAUAGCGGAACUAUGAGCUUUCUCUAUAAUAGUCCAUCUCAAAUCCCCAUAUAUAUUGGGCACACCAAGUCUACCAUCAAGUCUCAUUGACUCAUUCAGGUUCGAGAAUCACCUUCUUAGCCUGUCCCUGGUCCACUUUCUACUUGAGCUUAAGCAAACAGGGAUCCCAUUUAGAUUGUAACACCGUAUCUUAUAGAGUUUGUACUCAUGAAUUUGAUGAUGGGGCUGCAAUGAUGCUCAUUUAUUUGUUGCAGUGUUUGUCAUAUCUAUGAUGUAUUCGUUAUAUGAUGGUUUAUCACUAUUGCAAAAAAGCAUUACCACUAUAUUUAUGAAUACUCUCUACUAGCAUGUUUCCCAACUUGCCCCUUUAUAGAAUAGCUAUUGGUAAGCGUUAUGAAUUCACUAAGCUAGCUAACUCACUUUUACGUUAUUAUUGUUUUACAGAGACAACUAUUGACAUAGAUGAGAACCCCCAGCGAAGUUGAUAGUAUUGGUGAAUCUCACAUUGGUUCAAGCAAAGGGGGCCUUUAUCAUUUAUUGUUGUGUCCUUCCUUUAUAACUCGUAAUAUUGCUCCAUUCAUUAGUUUCAUGUGUACUUUGUUCAUCAUGUUACUUAUAAGUGUUCAUCAUAGAAAGUUAGUAAGAUCAUUUGUAGAAUAGAUUAAUCAAAUGAGAAUACAGAUAGAAUAUGGGUGCUCUUCAAUGCAUAAUAUUGAGAACUCCAAUUGGUGAUGACUUUUUUUCGAGUGCUGCUUGUGUUGUAUGAUUCUAGCUGAGACAGGUAAAUUUGGAUAGUUCUAGAAAUAGGGGAAACUCUGUCAAAUUUUUUUGUAAAAUUUGGAGCUCUUCUCCUGGCCUUGAAUUGGGUUGCUGACAUUUUCCUAGUUAGCAAAUUUAAAAUGCACAAAUAAAAUUGGGAUUUACAUAUUGGAUGUAAUGCUGCAAAGGUGAAGAGCAGAGUAUUUUACCUGAGUUUGUUGAAUAUCAAGUUCUUGUGAUAGAACAACAUGAUGAUGUUGUGAAGGCAGGGUGUUAGUAGUGUAUUCCAUCAUCAGCUAUAAAUCAUGAGAAUAUUUAUGUCAUUUUUUCAAGAAAAAUUGUGAGGCAAUAUGUAAUGAAAGAGGCAUUUUGUGAAAUGAUUUACCUGAAUGCAAUGCAGUAUGCCUGAAUGCUUUUGCUUGCCUAUUCUCUGUUUUCUUUGAAAAAUGGUGGAAUGGCUUAAUCAUUCUAUUAGAUGUACAUGCACUUACUUUUGGUCAUUUCCUUAGUAAAUUCAAUGACUUUUUGGCCAUUUCCUUGGUACAAUAGUACCAAAAUUGGAGGAUUGAUAUGCUAGUUUUGCCUCAGGCUAUUCAGUGUACAACUCUACAUGACUUACAUCACUUACAUAAUCUUUUAUUGCUUGGUAUUAAUUCAAUUGGCCACUUAACUA